rnacentral:lncRNA from 1 species
CAGGGUUCUUAUCCUCCACAGUUCUGUGUAAAUGUAAAAACACUUAAGUGAUGUUGAAUCAUUAGAAAAGCUUGAGGAAAUAUCUAUUAGCACAAUGUAGUGUAGAAGUGUAUUGCUAUUUAAUCACUAGCACUCACUUUCUACUCCCAUUCUCUUCUUGCACGCGUCCACAUACUGAUUCAUUCAAAGCUUUUCCAGCUGAUUACUCAAUUGACUUUAAAUGACUCAGAAAACAGUUGCUCACGGCUUCUUUACUGUGUGUAACAGAUACGCUAGACUGACAGGAUGUUUUCAGAUGUUCUCAGCUUGACUGGGAUACAGUAUGACCUGAGGUGACCCCAACACUCUUACAACUAAAGAGAUAUUUCCUCUUCUACUCAGCAGCAGCAUGUAUCAAUGAGGUUCAUUGACCCAAGACCCAAAUGCAGCGAGAACACAGUCCAUCAACAGUCCUGCAUUGCUCUCUGAAACCUGGUCUCAGCCGUCACAGGUUACUUGUGAGUGAGUACCACAGCCCAAAUUCCACUGGAUAGAGUUUUCAGCCCCAGGCGCUCUUCCCCAGACGUGGAGUUCACGUGGGUUGCGAGAUUGACACACAGUGGCAAGCGACGACGGGUCUUAAUCUGCCGUAGAUCAUAAAUUUAUACAUUUGCAAUGUCCAAAAAGCCUGUCUCUACCACAGUAGUGAUGCUGUUAAAUUACCUAGCUAUGGUUAGUAACCUUACUGAAGCUCAGUGAUUACCUGUUCAGCCAAAAAAUAGCCAGCUCAGCUGUUUGCAUGGCAGCAGUUUGCUGUUUGAGUGAUGUUGUGGUCUGAUGAUACAUGCU